AGUACCCUGCUUUGCGCGUGAUGGCCCGGAGGCUCGUUUGAGCCAACGUUACAUCCUAAGAGAAUCGCGAUGCCCCGCCGUGUGCAUGCCUCUGCGAGAGGAAGCCUGACGCGUGGCCUGAACAGCGGUUCCACCUGCUUUGUGCAGGUUCAUCCGACCUCCCCACACGGCAAAGCGGGGCCUUU
rnacentral:other from 1 species